GCAUCCAGCAUGGGAGAAAGAUAAAGGCUGGAAGACUCAGCAAGGCAAGUCCUUCCAGCUUCUUCCUGCCUUAUUCCAGCCAUGCUGGCAGCUGACUAGACAGUGCCCACUCAGAUCAAAGGUGGGUCUGCCUCUCCCAGUUCACUGACUCAAAUGUUAAUCUCUUUUGGCAACACCUUCACAGACAUACCCAGGAACAAUACUUUGCAUCCUUCAAUCCAAUCAAAAGCAAGUUAGUUACUUCGUAGAUACAAUGUUAACCAUCAUGCCUGCUGUUCUUGCAUAUGGUGUUCCAGCACUCAUUGCUCAACUUUCCAGUGAUAUAGCCCAAAGUCUCCUUUUUGUCACCCACUGCUCUUCUACUCUUGGUCAAUGGGCUUUGCCUAUGCUAAUCACACUGCCCAGAUCCAGGGAUGGGUGCGUGAUCCAGCCUGAUCCAUCAGCAUAGUUCACCCUAGCUCCAGUUGUUGGUUUAGGAAUGAGCAUCUGACACAAGUGGGAUAAAUUCAGUCAAUGCCAAGGCUCUUAAUGACACUAUUAGGCAAGUGUCACUGUCUUUCUGCUGUGGAAACUGCUGCAGUGAAGUGUUAGCCCGCAGCUGCCAGCAGCCACCUCUGCCUUCUCAUGAACAGAGCCUGAGAAUGGAGCCAACACAGAGGAUACCAGACCCAAAAGAUGGAGAGGGACAUUUGAGCCCCUAAAUCUAGAUCUGCCUGUAUGCUUCAGUCCUUGCACCAAUACAUGUCCUUUCUCUCAAACCACUUUGAGUUGAGUUUUCAUUGCCAGAAAUUGAAAGAGUCCUGACUAAUGUAUGUACAUAGAUGAACGAGUUUCAUGCCUAAAUGUUUGAUUGGAGAUUGAUCCUGGACCAUUACACCCAUGGAGAACUGUGAGCUCUGUUAAAACUCUUCAAAAGUUUCCUGUUGCUCUCAGGAUAUAACCUAAACUCCUUAACCAUGGUUUGAGAGCCUUCAGUAGUCAGGACCUUGCUGAUCUCUGGCCUCAGCAUGAGCCACUUUUCCUCCCAAUUUAUAUUCUGGCCACACUGGACUUUAAGUUUCUAGAAUGUACCAUUGUCUCCUGCUUCAGGCAUUUGUCCUCUUCCUUGAGCAUGCUUCACCUACCUAAGUCCUACGAUUCCUUCAAUAUCAGCUUAAAACUCACCCUAUCACUGCCAGGGCUCCACAGCAGUUCUACCUUCUAACACUCAGCACACUUGCAGCCAGGCGUUCAAUGCCUGCCCCUACCCCAGAAUAUAAGCCUCUGCAAGAGUCAGAUAGGUGCUGCUCUAAUCUCCACGCUAUCACUAGGACGCGAAUAGAGACCCAACAAAUAAAUAUUUGUUGAAUACCUGAAUGAGAUAAAUAAUGCAGGCAACCCUAAGUACGUGGAAGUGGAGGAGAUCUAAAUUAGGUCUGAGACCUUUGGGUCAGCCAGCUACGCAUAAGGUGAUCAAUGCCCAGGCCAAGGUGGUAACUCUAGUAAGAGAAAGGAACAGGGAAGGGAAAGGAAGGAAACUCUAUGUGGAAACUGAGAACGGAAGAACCAAAAGAAUUUGACCGGCUUUGAUGAAAGCUAGAAAAAGUAUCUUUAAAGAGACACCCCAGCCCAUGAACCAAGUGCAUAAGAGGAAUGUGCAGCUAUUGGCAGGGGCAGGGGCACUGCUUCAGGACACAGUUAUGCUGCUCAUGUAGGACAAAGCCUCAGCAUUUUGCAGGACCCAGCAGGGAUGAUGGGGGCAGAAGACAGGCCCUUAACUGGUGGAUCCUGAACAGGUCCAUCACAGUCAGUGGUGGAGGCUAGAAUGGAGCAGAGAGCUCAUCCUGAGCUUAUGUCCCCGGGAACUGACAGAGUAUCACGGGAAAUUCUGUCCUCCAACUCCACCUGGCUGAAGCUGAGCUGCAUAGUAAUGGGUGCUCCUCAAACAAGGUGCCUGCAUUGUCCUCACAGGGGCAGCCAAAGAGGUGUUUACUGUUUGGAUUUUCUCUCCAGAGCACGCUUGCUGUUCUGGGAAGAUCACGGAGUGAUUUGCAUAAUUGCCUUCUCAGGUGAUGAUUGCUCAGACCAAGGAAGAAUUUCAAAAAGCCCACCUGCUUGCCUUGCUGUGUAGCAUAAAGGACAUAUUUGGGAGGGAGGAAACAAGUCAACCAAAGGGAGUCAGGUAGCCCUGGCUGCCCCUUCAGGUGGGAAGGUGUCAUGGAAGCUCAGAACCCAACAUUUCUCUCCACAGUUGCUUUCCAACCUCCAUCUCCACUUUCCAAACUGUAGCCCUGGGAAGAAGUAAGAACCAGCUAGGGAGAAGCCAACUCAGGAAGCUACCUAACAGCUACAAAUCCUUCAAUAUCAGCUUAAAACUCACAUCAUCAAGUAGGAAUUCCUUGGUUCCAGAAGAGGCUGGCCUUUCACUGUCAGGACUCCAUGCAGAGUCCUGACAUGGACUCCUUCUUCUAACACUCAGCCCACUUGCCGCCAUGUGUUCAAUGCCUACUCCCAUCCCAGAAUGCAAGCCCAUGAACAAGUCCAGUUCUGUGGGCCUGCAAACACCAUCUGAGACUCUACCAUUUGCUAGUGAAAGAGACCAAGGAGCCCACAGUCAAAUGAGGAAGGAGGCAUAGAGAUAAAACUUGGGAAGAUAAGUAAUAAACAUAGGGUUCUUUGGAACAUGGAGGAGGAGCUUUGAGCCCAGCUGAGGCAGGGGUGUGUAUCAACAAAGGCCUCCUGGGGGAGGUGACAUCUGAAUGGAGCCUUGAAAGAAUAUAGUGCCUGGUACAUAGUAGAUGCUCAAAUACCCAAGGAUGAAUGGCCCAAUAGCAGGAUGGAUGGGGAGGUAGAUGUUCCAGGGAGAGAAAAAGCUGGCUCAGUCCAUUCUUCAUCCCAGAGCCACAGUGAAUUCUGAAGCUAUUCUAAUGCCUUGUAAACAGCACAACGUUUUGCAUGGUGUGUAGAAUGUGGGGUGUCUCUUCUGUUAUCAUUUUGGGUCAAGAAUAAAGUGCUCACAGGAAUAAAGUGCUCAUGUCAGCUUGUACUGGGGGCUACUGAGACAGAAAAACCAAGGCUCAGCUGACUCCACCUCAAAUCAACAGGAUGCUGUUUAAAUAUGUAAGAGAUUCACCGGGCCACUGCCUGCACUGUCUAGUUUUCUUCGAAGUGUAUGAAAAAUGUGCUUAAUAUUCAUGCUCCAUUCCAAAGAGGCACAGAUGGGGGCCAAAGAGGAGAAAACCAUUUUUAGUGAAAAAUGACUAGUGUCAUGUCUCCCAACCCAAACUAAUAUAUUUCUUGAGGCUGACCUUAAGCUACCUCCUACAGGAAGCCUUCCUCAACAACUACAGAUUCUGCAUCCCCCUCCCUUUCUAACUUCUUUUCACUUCACUCCUUGCCACAUCUCUACUUGAGGUGUCAGCUAUUUUGUUCACGGACUGUGUGCACAUCUUGUGGUCUCUCCACCUCCCAGGUUCCCAGAAACAUAUGUAAGAGGAGCUCAGUUUUAAGGAUAAGACUGUGUGCACAUCUUGUGAUCUCUCCGCCUCCCAGGUUCCCGGAAACAUAUGUAAGAGGAGCUCAGUUUUAAGGAUAAGAACACUGAGAUCUAGAGAGGUGUAUAGCACCCACUUGCCCCAAGGUUGCACAGCUCAUAACUGCAGGAGUCAGGCUUCCAGCCUGGACUCGUGCCCAGACUCUGCUCCCAACUACACUUCUACCAGCCCCCUUCCCAUCUCGCAGCCUCCUCAUCUCAUUUCUAGUCCACUGCUGUCUAUGUUGCACCGCUGUUUUCUGGGUGCAUUGGGUCCCAUUGUCUUGCCUCCUGAAGAAUAGGGUGAGUGGCUUAGGAGAACAGAACCAAGUAUUCACAUUUUCAUUUCUGUCCCAUGCUCCUUCCCCAUUUCUGGACGCAGAGUAGGUGCUGAUAAUAUGAAGCACAGAGAGAAAAAUGUCAGCACAAAAAGGAAGCAUCUGUUCUUGGGCUUUCAUUAUUCAGAUGAGAAAACUGAAGCUCAGAGAGGGGAAGUGACUGAAAUAUGCAUUGGACAGAAUUGAGAAGAAAGCAGGCUAGCUCCUGCUACUGUACUUCACACGUAACAGGUGCUUAAGUUAUGCUAUUGUUAUAUUAUAUAUUAUGUAUGUUCCAUAUAAUGUAUAAUAAUAUGUAUAAUAUAUAUCACCAUCAUUGUCAUAAUUUUAUCGUUGUCUGAAUGAAACCAUUAAACUCAGCAUGUCUUGUCAUUGGGGAGUUCUGAGGGUUUUCACAAACAUGAGUCUUUAGUUCAUGGAGCCAAUCAGGAGGACUGAAGUGACUGACUUUCAGGAAAACAAAGGCCAACAGAAAGAUGAUAAGACAUUCUUACAUUUGUAAAGUAUUUCACAGCAGACAACUUUCUUAAAAGAAAGAUUGCUAAAUUUGGCAUUAGGAAAUCUGGGACUGAGACCACGUCUGCCACUGGAUGACUUUGACGAAGUCAUUUGUUUUCUUUGAGCUUCAGUCUCCUUUGUAAGAUAAAACUGUGAGAUGAACUCAGAAAAGAAAAUUGUGGAGCAGGCAGGGCCCAACUCCCCAUUGCUGUGCUCAUAGCAGCCAUCAUUAAUUGAUCACCACACUCUUUGUGCUAUGCCCAGGUGAGGCUUCAGAAUCUGUCCCCGGAAACCACUACCCGUUGGCUGGCAUGAACGUGUUAGAUGAAACCAAUUUGUUACUUUCAGUAGAUGCCUGUACAGCCAACUCCAACUUUGACUUUCUGACUCCAUAAGUCUAUCACACAUCCAGCAACCUGACAAGAUUGGCAGAGCAGGCCUCACCCCUCUACCCCAUAGGAACAAUCUGAGCUCAGAUCAGCUCAAGUUUAGAUAGUUGGCGAGUGGUGGUGGAAUCAGACAUUAGACCUCUCUAAAUUGGCCUGGUAAGAACAUUCAAUAGUCUUACAUAUUCCCUGGCUACAAAGGACUCCCAGUCCCUCAGAGUCAAGGACCACGGUAAAAUGAGGAAAUAACCGAAAGCUUCAUCAUCCUUUUCACACCGCAAGGUGGCUGAGUGAGAACCUCCCUUCUGGACAGGUGAUACCAUGCUGCAAAACCAGGAAGUAGGUGAAGUUGUUGAUUUCUUUCACUUUCAUCCUCGUGUCAUUAGAAGCCCAGUUCCUCUUGACAGAAUCUCCCAACCACCACCCACUCUGCUGCUAUACCCCAUCUGGUCACAUAUCCCUCAGAUUGUUUCCAGAACUUUCUUCUUUCAUUUGAAAGGGAAGUUUGUUGGUAAUAGCUUAGAGUGAGACCUCAUUCCAUUGAAGGCAGCUGCCUGCGGUGGUGGAAAGAGAACUGAGGCUGGAGUCAGAACAUAGAGCUUCUUGUUCUGCUGCUGUGGCCUUGGGGAAAGUUGCUGUUCUUCUCUUGACCUCAGUUUCGCUUCCAGCUUACGAUUUCCAAGAGAGAAGUGUUUAAUUCUUGGCUAACAGGGCAAAGUGCUCACGGACCUCAUCCCUACACUGGUGGCUGGUGUGAAGCCUGGAGAAUAAACGUGAAGCCACAACUCGCAGGGUUCCCAGCCUAUCAAAAAGGUCCUUUCUCUCUCCCCAGGAUGGAAGCCCUUUUGCUGAUAUGGGAUUGCAAAGCCUGAACAGAAGCAGGGAUCAGAGCCCAGAUAAAGGGUUGGGCCUCUUGGGGUGGAGGCCCAGUCUAGUCCUCUUCCAGGGAAAGGUGGCUUAAUAUUCUCCCUCUAUCAUCCUGUCUCCUCCUUUCUAUCCCUUGUCCUAGACCCACCUCUGUAAUCUGAACCACUUUCAUUUAAGGAAACCCAAAGUCAUGAUCUGUUUUCUAGGAAAGUCAGAGCCAAAGACAUGAACAGAAAAGAAAAAAAAUUGCUGACAAGUCUCAGUGGGCCAGGACCUGAAAAUCAAUUUGACACAUCAAUUUUUUGGAUUUAAUAACUCAUGCUCCCAUGGAAUCAAGGUCAUAAAUAGUAAAGAGAGUUCCAGGCAAGCCUACCAAAAUCUGUUUGACUCAGCUGGAGACCUUGAUCCCAUCUCUCUGCUCUGUUCCCAUUAAUAAUUUCCUCUCCUAGAUGCUUCCUCUCUUUGGUUUGGUUCCCACAUUAUUGCCCUGUCAAUGAUGUUUGCCUACAUUUCUGUCUUUUCCUUCUCUGCAUCUCUCCUCUUCUUCCCCUGUUCAUUGAAUGAAGUCAUCCCACAAGGCUCUGUUCUUUGCUGUCUGGACUUCUCAGCCUACAUUUAAUCCUCAGGAAUGUAAGUCUCUCCUUUUAAGUUACCAUGUUGAAGAUUUCCCCCAGUUCUUCUCAGUAACCCCCAAAUCUCUAGCCAUUGGAUGGCUUCCUCAACUGGAAAUCUGGCUGAUCCUUUGCUUAUCUUCAGACGUCCCCUUUUUAAAUUUCUCUGUCCCCAAAUUGGAUGGACGCUCUUGGAUCAUCUGCUUGAAUGUCACGUUUUCAAUGAAGCCUUCCCUGGUCUCCUUAUAUAUUAAUACCCCAUUUGCAGAUCCAAGAUCAUCUGUAAAUGGGGUAUUAAUCCCUUUCUCAAAUAACUGUUGAGUGAGUUUAACAAUAUGAUUCAUCUACAGGUGCUUUGAAAUGGUCCGACUGUUACUUGGUCUAAUUCAGUCUCAGACUGCUGCUUGUGAAAUGCCUACCCUCUAUUUCCAUAGUCUCAUAUAGUGAGUCCAGCUGUAUACUCAGGGACUUGUGUCCCCAUUCCCACAAUAACCUGCCCAGCCCUGAUCCCACAUUCUAACUCUGGAUUUUCAUCAUGCAUGGACUCCUGGUAUGAGCCCAGCCUAGUUUUCCACCUCACCUGUGCUCCAUCCUCCCAACUGCUCUCUUCCAACUGGAGAGCCCACGUGGGCCCAAGGAAGGCAGGGAGGAAAGUGACAUUGUUGAGCCCUGUGCCCAGUGAAGUACGUAUGUGAGCUCAUCCAAUCCGCAGCUACUCCAGGAGGAAGGCAUAAUUAUCCUCAAUGCACAGAUGAGCAAACAGAGGCUCAUGGAGGGUCAGCGACGUGUCCAAGGUCACUGACUCAUCAGAAGGCUGCUUUGUUCUCACUCCAUCAGACGGCCCAAGGAGAAAGGUAAGACAGAAAGAGGAAGCCACCAGGACAAACUUGUUCCUGCUGUGAUACCCUUAAACAUCAAAUCAUGAGAUUAGGUGGUCCUGGGGGUGGGUGUGGACAGAGGAGGGAAAAGUGGCUGUACCGAAGCAAGGAUGGAGGGAGGAGGGUGCCUGUGCUCAGCCAUGCUAAUUUUGACAUUUUCCUGUGCGUCUGCUUGUCAUCAUCAACUUAUAAUUUAACCUCGUUGUGGCGAUGCCUCUGGAAUGUCAACAAGGCUUGCUGGAAUUUCAUUACAGCCAGGCAGCUGGCCUCUGGUAUUUCGGAUACAAAUGAUGUGCAGCUGCAUUCUGGCCCUGCUGUCUUCAUCCCCCAUCUAGCAAACGGCAGCAUUAGGCACACUUAAUCCAGAGAGAUAUUCCCUACGCCGAGAAGAGGGCUUGUCAAUUCCACCGGGGGCAUUUCCUAUGGACUGCUCUGCCUGAGCCAAUUAACCUAGAGUAAUUGCUGAAAAGCAUUAGAUGUUGAUGAUGGAUGCAGGGGGCUGACCCCAGGGGUGGUUGGAGGGAAAGCGCUGAAAAAUGAAACCUCCCCAUAUCUGCACAACAUUUGCCACUUUCAGGGCACCUCUGCCUGCAUCGUAGCAGUGGUACAGUGAUCUGUGCUGGAAGGUUGUGGCAUUCUCAUUUUGCAAAAGUGAACAUCAAAACUCAGAGGGAAAAAUGAUUUCAAGUUAACCAGAAUAAGAAAACAGAAAUCUGGGUACACAAAGUCCACAUCUAGAUUUCACAUUUAUCCAACAAAUAUUUAUUGAGUAGCUACUAUGAGCCAGGCAUUGUGCUUGUUUGAAGGAUACGUUUUUCUAUCCUUGAUAACCAUGGCAUUUUUUUCUGUAGGAUUUUCCUUUCAGGCCCUCUCCUAAGAGAGAUUCUUUCCCAAUCCCCUACAUCCUAUACCUUUUACUUUCCUCUUCCCUCUGGCCCCAUAGAGAAGGUUUUGAUGUCUGUCGAUUCCACAUGAGUACACGCAGGUUUCCUUGUCUGCCCCUCCCAACAAGAACCUCAUGACACUGAUCGUUCCCAGGGACGGAGAAGGCCUGUCCUGUUACAGGACUCCUGCACCCUGUGAGCAGGCUGGAGAGGAAUCUGGGGUCAGUGGUCUUGCUGGCUCUGAAAGCAGUGUCUGCAGCUGCCUGCCGGGCACAUAGGUUCAAGCGGCCUUGCUAGCUCAUGACAUCAUGGUGCAGUAUGGAGGUCCUGGGCCACAGUUUCAGUGCUGUCUGUGACUCAUGGGCUGUGGAGUCCUGGUGCCAGCCCUUGAAGGUGGGGCAGGAAAGCGAGGCACAUGAGUGAAUUCAUAGCUGAGACCACACCGGACCUGGAUCUUUCCCAGGUUUGAAGGUUGAAUGUGCCUGUGCUGGCCAGGGCUUGAUGAGCUUCUCCACUGGAUGUGUAAAUCCCACUCAAUGUUCCCUCUUAUCACACUCAGGCCCUAGCCACUAGAAGCCUCAUUUGCCUAAGUUUUUGUCCCAGCGUUUCCAUGAAGGCAGAGAGAGGAGCUAUUUGCAUGGGGUCAGAGAUACGGGAGCCCAGGGCUACACAGAAAAGAUGGCAGGGAGCCUCUCACACCGCAGUCAAGUCAAGGCAGUCCAGGGUGGCUGCUGGGGCCAGACUGCCCCGUCAAGAUCCAGCCUGCUUCUCACUGACUGUGUGAGUAGGAUGUCCUGCCCUAAUCCUGGCCUUUAGUUUCUGCAACUUCAAAAUGAGGACAAAAUAACCUCCAAGGUCCAGGUUACUUUCCUAUACAGAGCCUGGAACUGUGCCUGCCCCCAUAGUGCACAUACACAGCCAGCUAAAGGAUGGUGUGCCUGGGGUGGGUCUGCAGGGCAAGUCCUAUUUCAUAGUUUAACAUUUCUGACACCACCUGUAUCAAAUUCCUAUGUUUAUGGUAUGCUGGGAGAGUUGAGUCAAGGCCAGACUGAGGGUGACUCUGGCCCUCUGUGCUGGGCCUGCUCUCUGCAGAUGCCUCCAACCCUGCCUUGGACAGACGGAGGAGUGAGUAGGAAGUGUUAGGAAGGGCCUGGGGUGUGGAAGAGCUUCUAACCCCAUCAGUAAGUCCUGGUGCAUAUGGAGGGAGAGCAAGGAGGGCUUCUAAACAUAGGUCAUAGAUAAACUCAAAACAGAAUAAACACGCUUAGGGGGUUUAUAGAAGAAAUAGUAUCACAAAAGGGCUGAGUGUAAGUACAGAAGUGGACAGGACAACCUUAUUGUGUCUCCUUGGUGACAGCUUCAACUAGAGUUAGUUUACAGACUACAUGUAAGGUGUUGGGCAGUCAACCCCCAGCUGGUUCAGGGGCCUUGGUCUCUCCCGGAAGUUGUCUUCCCCAAGUCUAUGACUCAUGACCAGGAGAGAGGAGGGUGGGCAGUGAGUUGAAUGAAGGCAAAUCACCCUCUAAAGCCUGGACCCAGGCCAUGACACCAAUCCAUCAGAGCGGGGACCUUGGCCUGGCGUUGUCUUAGGGGCACAAGAGUGACCAUUCACACUACCUGCCUCUAUCCUUCCUUCCUUCCUGCAUGAGACCUGGUGUAGCCGCUGCUCCAUGCCUACCACUGGGUCAUAGAAACUCAAGAGUUUCCCUGGGGCAGCUGCCAGGGAGUGAGGUGAUCAGAAACCCUGACUUCUCCCCACCACCCAGCCAAACUCCACCAAGCCCAGGAGUGGCUCUCCCUGAGCCUGGUGUCCCCUCUCUGCACAGAGUAGUUUAAGAAAUCCAGAAAAGUCAUAACCCUCAGGAAUCCACACUGAAUGUGAGCUGGCAUCAGCCCUCUCUGCACUGGGCCUCCUCAGGUACUAAGAUGGGUUAUAUUUGGGGUAAGAGGGGACAGAAAGUCCUCAUGUGUCAGGAAAAAGUUACAAAAUUCCACCCCUCAUACAAGAACUCUCUCACUUUUUCCUCCUCUGAGCAUUCUGCAGAGCUGGGGUGAACCACGUUGGCCAUUGUGAAAGUGCAAAUUCAGGAAUGCUGAGAUCAUUACUCAAGGUGACAUCACAUAUAAGUGGCCAGCCCUUGACCUACAAGGUCUAAAUCCCAUUUCUGUCUUCACACUUAGAGGCCUCCAUUUCUGCUUACGCACUUUCAAUAAUGAACUCGGGAACUCAGUCUCUCUUGAACGGACCUCCACAUAGAAGAGCCUCAAGUGGUCCAAAGUAACUAGCCUUCUCUCUGUGCCUCUUAGGCCUCCUCUAUUCUUUCUCUACUGGACACAGCAACAACAAGUGUCCGAGUCACUUAGUAUUCCUGGUAUUCUGAGUUGGGCUCCAACUGGGGUGAGCCUUGUAGAUUCUCAGACAGCAGCAUCAAGGGAUGUGGGCUUCAAGCCAAGUCAGAUAAUAGUAAAAUAAUAAUAAUAAUAAUAAAGAUAGAGACACAAACACAAGGACACUGGGGCAAGCAUAAGAGGUUAGAUCCACAAACAGAGACAAAUAGGUGCUGGGAGCAUGAUGGAAGGACACAUCUCCACUGACAGCCACAUAUUUUCAGGACCCAAGAGCCCAAGGACAGACAGAGCUCAAGCAAGGCUCUGAGUGAGGGAGGUGAGAAGCUGGAUGAGGGCUGGCCUUUGUGUCUCCAUCUCUGCCACUUGACCAAGAUCAAAGAACUUCCCCAGAUGAGCUUAGACAUCUAGAAAUGACUCUGGGCGAGAAGAAAGGGAGACGAGGAAGUGAAAGGAGUGAAAGAAUGGGCCACAACACAUAUGGAGAUGGGAUGGCAGGGGAAAGGAUGAGGAGCUUGGGAAUGGGAAGAAGUUUUCUGAGAACUUCGGUAGGUUGAGGCAACAGGUUGUGGUGGAUGCUGUGAUGUGCUUCCCAGGUCCCUCUUCAAGAAGGAAGGACUUAUCUUACUACUUGCUGGGGAUGUUGCCUGCAGAAAGUUCUCAGUUGCCAGCUCCCCAUGAGGUUUGCCCUAACCCUGACCACAGAGAGCUGCCUUGCUCCAGAUCAUGCCUUCUUUACAGGGCGGUUCACAUCCGAUGACAGAUCCAUGGAAAGAUAUUGAGGCCUGAACCCCUUUCCCUAUCUGGAACAACUCUGAAGGCUCACUCCAUUUUCACAUUUCCCAUGGCAUCAGGUAAGAUGCUCAUUGAGACUGCAUCACAGCUCAGCUUCUCCUUCUGCCUAAUCCUGCUUUCUCCCCAUUCCUUCCUUAAGUGUAAUUUUAUGAGUUCUUCCUAAUAAACCAUUGCAAGUAAAUAUCUAUUUCAGAGUUUCCUUCCUGGGGACCCAAUCUGUGACACAGGUUUAAACUCUGAGCAGGAAGUUUUCAUUUUGCCUGGCCCACAGUUUACAAAGAACAUUGAUGGCUUCAAUCUCACUUGAUCUUCACAAUAACUUGGUGAAGUGGGUGGUACUGUUCUUACUUAACAGAUGAGGAAAUUGAGGCUGGGAGAAGUCAAAUUACUGUUCAAAGACCAAAACGUCAAGGAAUUGAUGGAACCAGGACUUAAAGCCUGGUCUGUUGGGCUCUCAAAUGUAUGCUCUUUCCUCUCUUGCACAGUUUCUAAAGAAAAGAAAGAAGGAAGGGAGGGAGGAAAGGGGGAAAAAGGAGAAGAAAGAAGGAAAGAAGGAAAGAAGGGAGGGAGGGAAGAUUAGCUAAUAUCUAGCACUUAUUCUGAGCUAGGCACCAUGCUCAGCAUUCUACAUGCAUUAUCUUAUUUAAUCCUCACAACUUUACGACAUAUGUAUUAUUUGUAUCCCUAUGUUAUAGAUGAGGAAUUUGAGGCUCAGAGAAUUGCAACGUUAUCUAAGGUCACACAGCCUUGUGUGAGGAAGGGGCUUGACACAAACUCACUUCCAUCUGACUCCAAGUCAGGCAUCUUAAUCACUACUAUCAGGGAGAAUCGGCACCAACCAGAAGGAUGAGGAGCCUAAAGAAGCAGUUGUGGGCUAGAGUAUUGGGGAAUCCAGAGCAGCUAACCAAGAUGCUAAGCGCCUGAGUAAAUGGGAAGCUUGGACAGAUCUGCAUCCUUGUUCUCCUGGGAGAAGACAGGGCCUGCUUGGGGGCUGACCCAGUUCAUGCCUGGAGCCAUUGCUUGGAAAUUGCACCCAGCCAAUCCCCAGCCAUAAUUACCACUAGGCUUGCAGCACUGGGCUGAGAGCUGGAAAUAGCUCUGCAUUUAUUUACCCUGCAAUUACAUGCUACAUUAAAUGCUCCGCAAGAACAUGGCGAUCACCCUGCAAUUAACUGGUCCCUGCUUCCUGGGCAAGAGAAGGCUGGAGACAGUUACUGGGUGAAAUCAAGUGCUCCCUGGUUUCUUAAUGGGCCUGGGGUCACCUUGUAACUUAUGCUGGUGGACCUGGCCAGAGGCUGCAACUCCAAGUGGGAGCUUCUUCAGCUCCUGAAGGAGAGAGAUUAACAUCUGGGUCAGAUCUGAGUCCAACUUUGCUACAGGUUCUGUAACAAGAUCGUCUAUUAGUGGGUCCUUGCCCAUACUGUCUUCUCUAGCUCCUCCCAAGGCAUCUGGUGUCUCUCUGUAUUUUACUUUUGGAGUUCCUGAACUCUACCAGCCUUUGCAUAGGUCAUUUCCUAUCAUGUUGACCUUGUAAAGUCCUAUCUACCUUUCAAGAUUCAGCUCAACUGUCAUCUUCUCUGGGAAGUAUACUUUGAAAGGAGAUUGUAUAGGAAAGUGAAAAUCAGACAUACUUAUGACAAAAUACCAGCUUCAUUACUUAAUAGCUAUGUGACUUUCAGCAAGUUACUUGGCCUCUCUGAACCUCAAUAUAUGUGUGUAUGUGUACAUGGGUGUAUAGAAUUCCCUGGUAUCAUAUGCAUAUACACAUUAUGUGUAUACAUAUACAAGAACUCAAAGUCUUCUAGUUAGGGACAGAUUUUAGCAAGGUGGAAACAGCAUGGUACCUCACACACAGUAGGUGUGCACCACAUCUUUCUUGAAUCAAUGAGUCAGUGAGUAAAUCAACCAACCAAUCAAAAUAAACCAAUUAGGAACUGUUAAUGUGUGUGUACCCAUGUUUACCUUUGUGGCUGUCCGCUUAACUUGCUGCAUAUAAACAAGUAUACCAGUUAUUCAAAAACAUAAUAUGUGCACAUGAUGGUAAUUGGUCUCUAGUUGCCUGGAGAGUCCAGAGAACCGGUUCCCAGGCUGUGUGGAUAGACUAAGAAUGCCAGGAAAAGACACUAAGAAAAGAGUUAAUUAUAUAUUUACUACCUCUGUCAUUUGCUCCUAAUUAUGUCUUGGCAAGCUGUGUCUCCUGGAUGAGUCUUAAAUCUCAGUGUCUUUAAAAAUAUAAUAAUAAAUCAAUGUGAGAUGAAAUGCUCCCAACAGCCAAAAUGCCCCGGACAGUUUUCAAUUAGUGAGAGCGCCAGUGAACAGUUCUGGCCCCAGUUUCGAUGAUGUUUGGGCCUUAGGAACCAGAUAUGGAGCCAGAAAAAUAGUAAGAGAGCAGAGCUGUGUCUAGAACGUGUCACUGAGGCCUCUUCUCAAUCUUCUGAGGGUCACCUGGAAUCCUUUCGGCCUCUGCCUGCUGCCAAUGUAUCAUGAGGCAACAGAGGAGGAAGUUAGGCAUGUAAAUUCAUGAGCCACCCUGGUGCAUUUUUCUUGGUUUCUGGACUGUGAAGACAAGGCCCAUUUACUCAGCCCUCUGUAUGUCAGUGACUCUCAACUGGGGGCAAUUCUGUCCUCCUAGCAGACAUUUGUAAAAGUCUGGAGUUAUUUUCAGUGGUUACCACUUGGGGAUUUUGCUACUGGCAUCCAAUGGGUAGAGGCCAGGGAUGCUGCUAAACAUUCUACAAUGCACAGGAUACUCCCACCCACAACAAAGAAUUAUCUGGCUUAAAAUGUCAAUAAUGCCCAGGUUGAGAAGCCCUCUGUUUGUGCUGGCAAGCUUGGGCCCUGGCAGCAUGUGUCCGUGCUGUCUGUUCCUGUUGUCACUCAUUCUGUUUUUCAGACCUCUUCAUGUUCUUUUCUAUUUUGGUUUCUAAUAAGGGACACAGGCACACACAUGCUCAGAACAAAUGCACAGCCUUCCUUCCCCAUAACCCCUUUUUGGCUGCAAUCGUAUUCACUGAGAAUUAGUCAGCCCUCUCCAAGGGAGGGGAGUGGACACUCACCUUGACAGCCUGUGGGCACCUGCACAUGCUGGCUCUUUCUCUCCUCCCAGGGAUAAGACCACACUUCUCUCACUGGUCCCAAUGGGCAUAGCAAAAGCAACAAAGUUGUGGGGCUUGUUGGUGCUUCAUCGAACAGGCCUAGGCAGGAGGCCCAGUGCAGCCCUGUCUGUGAGAUGACCUGGGAAUCUGUGUUUCUUAUCAAGUGUCAACACACACGCCCAGCAGUUUCGCUCUGUUCCAUCCCAAGCAAUCAAAUACGCCUACAUCAUGCAAGCAAUUUUUAGGUCUCCUAGUUUCUAUUAUUAGAGCCUCUUGCCUAGGAUUCAAAGGUCCAUGGCACAUAAAAGGGCCAAGAGGAAAUUUCCUAGGAUUUUCUCAUGUAGUCUUCACAACCACCCGAUGAUGCAGACACUUGUGCAUCCCCUUCACAAUUGGGGGAAAGAGGCUCUAAGGACAGAACAGUGCCUUUGCACUGCAUGAGUCAGAUCUUGACACUUGUCUGUCUAAGCUGGUGCUGGAAAUAAUGAAGCUGAGACGGAAACACCAGUCCAUUUGACCCUAAGCAAGGCAUGGGCUCUUGACACUACAGCUGUUGCUGAAAGGAGAUGGAGGAAGGAGAGGCAACAAGAAUAGAAAGGGGUGUUUCUGAGCACAAGAGCAGAGGAAAUAGAAGGCAUGGAUUACCUCUUCAACCCUGACAUUCUCCUAGCUCAUAAGCACAUCCCUGUCCUUUAACAUCUGGGUGUCUUAGAGGGCACCAGAAACUUCAGACACUGAAAGGAAAGACAUUCUAAAAGGUGGAAGGAAAGUGGCAUUUGGGGACUGCUAUAGGCAGUCUGAAUAUAGAUGUGAGUGAUAAACAUAUGGGGCUCAUUACUCCAAGAGGCCCAGGCUUCUUCUAAACAGGUGUCAGGAGAAUUUUAAUCAAAGCCUCAAGCCAUGAUGAGUUAUUAAAGGUAUGGAGGGAUAUGAGUAGGACAUUUCAGCUCAGUCAGCUUCAAGAACACCUUGGAUAGACCAUAGGCAGAUGGGCACUUGGGAAAUGAUCUAUAUAAAGUACCAUAAACUUAUCUGCAAAUUAUUUCCACCCCAACCUCUCCCCAGUCACACACACAACUUUUUUCGAAUCCAGCAUUUCUCAACGUGUGUCCCAUAGAGCAGUACCUCGUAACUUUAGUGUGCACAGAAACUUUAAUGUGUCCUCGGAGUGUCCAGGGUGGGCCUGACAUUCUGCGUCUCUAACAAGCUCUCAAGAAAUGCUGAUGCAACUGGUCUACAGCCCAUACUUGAAUGGAGAGGUUUUAGAAUACUGGCUAAGCAAGAUGUUAAUGGUCUUUAAGGGAAAAGAAAAGAUUCCAGAGGCAAAAUGUUUGGGACAUACAACAUUAAGUUUAACGAGUAUCUGAACUACCAGCAGAAGAGGGCAGAGUGUAAUACGUUUAAAGCUGUUAAGAGGCUUUAUAGAAAACAAAAGGAGUUCCAUGGUCAAACACUUUUGGGAGGACCUGGGUUAAGUUAAAGGAGUAUGAAGAACUUCUCAGUGCCUUUACACUGAGUCAGAUCUUGCCACUCCUCUGUCUGAAGCUGGUAAUGUAGAAGCCUUUACAUUGGCUGAUAAGGCCCCCGGCACUUCACGCUUCCUUCUCCCUAUGUCCAGGUACACAGGCCUUUCCUGGGAAGAAAAAAUAGGCAUCUCUUUGCCUCAGGGUCUUUGCCCUGGGUCUUUCCUCUGCCUGAAACAUUCUCUGACAGCUAACUGUCUAACUCCAUUGCCUUCUUCUUUUCUCAAAGGCCACCUUUUAGAUGAGACUGCUCUAACCACCCUAUGGAAUUCUAUAACCUGCACCUCUUGACCCUGGCAUUUGCAAUCCCCCUUAUUUGAACUUUCUUUUUUAUUUUCUUCCAAUGCAUUUUCACCUUCAAAGACACCAUACAAUUUCAUAAUUUAUUAUGUUUAUUGCUUAUUUUUUGUCUUUCCCAUUAGACUGUAAGCUCCAUGAGAACAGGAAUCUGGUUUUUUUCCUUGCAGUAUUAUGAGUACCUAGAACAGUACCUGUGCUAUAGUAGGUACUCUAAAUAUUUGCUGAAUCAGCAAUUGAGCAGCUGUCCAAAGUGAAGUUCUUAGUAGGAGUGGAAUAUAGGAAGCAUCAUUCUCCAAAGGCUUUUCAUUGCAGAACCUAUUUAUUUCUUAUUUCUUUUCCAACAGAGCAUCUCAGCAUGACCACUAUUCCUAAAUGCACAUUUUCUAGGAAAUGGCUGCUGUAGUAACUCACUGAGAAUCCAGCCUUCAUCCAUUUUCCUAAAUCCUUCUAGGCCUAUUCAUAUUCAUCCCCUGACAAUCCCAGAGUGAUGAAUUCCAUAAGUUUAUUACCCACAGUAUAAAUUUGUCUUUAAUUCUGCAAGAAUAAUGUCAUGGGAGGGACACUCACUUCCCGCUCGCCUGCAAAAGAUCCCUCGAUGCUGCCACGGAGAAGAGGCACAGGGUUUCACACCAUGUCUUGUAAGCCAUAGGUGCUCCAUAAAUUCAUAUUUAACCCUCAAAGUAAUCCUUUGAGGUGAGUCUUAAUCUCCCAUUAUACAAAUGAGAAUCUGGGUCUCAGGGAGAUUAAGUAGCUUACAGAGCCGGAAUUUGGAUAAAGGUCUGCCAUGCCUUAAUGCUCACAUACUCUCCACAACACCAAUGUGGCAAAGCUCACAAAAUGGCAUUUUCAAAUGCCAAGGUAUGGAAUCAGAGACUUGGGAGCUGUGUGUCUGUCCAGAGUGCCUUCCUCAUUAGCAGUGGCCAUAGCACAGCAAUAAUAGCUACUGCUUAUUGAGUUUUUACUAUACACCAAUCAUUAUUCUAAGCAUUUUACAUGCAUUAAGUAUUUUAACUCCUAGAACCCUAUGACCCUCACUUUACAGAUGAGGAAGCUGAGGCAAUUAAAAAAAAAGUUACAUAGCAUAUUACCUUGCCCAAGGUCAUAUGGCUGUAGAGCAGCAGCAUUACUUAUGCCAGAAUCAGGGGAAAAAAAGUCAGGCAAGGUACAGUUUUGAACCAACUCAGCUGCUCCCAUGACCACCUCACUAUGCUCUGGUGCUCAGGGCCAAAUCCAGCUCCUCCUUCCCUCUUAGGUCCACCCAGUGCUCCACAGCAGUCUUGUCCCAGCCUUUGCAUCUGUCUCCCACCACUCUGAUAUACAAGAACCCUUUUAUGGAUGGGAGUGCAGUUUACAGCCUUCUGUCUGCAAUCCCUAGCAACCCUUUCCCAUACAGCUUCCCCAGAUGAUCCAUGCUGGGCAGCUAGGGACUGGCACCAAGAAGGCCCUUGGAGACCAUCACAUUCAAUCUCCUCAUUUGAAAUCUGGGAAACCUGAGAUCCAGAGGAGAUGCUGACUUGCUGAACACACACAAUCAGAAAUAAACCUAGACUAGGACACAGGCCUAGAAAUCCCAUUCCAGUGUCAUUUAACCUAUUAGCCAACCAAACAACUAACCAACCAACCAACCAACCAGAAAGCAUUUACUGAAGUAUUGUUAGGUGAAAGUGCCAAGGAGUGACCAGGGUUUCUGCUCUAAUGCCCACUGACUUAUCAUUUGUGUUCACUUAUGCUUUCCUUCAUUCAUUUCUGAAUUCAAUACAUUGUUAGGCUCAAGAAAUAACAUGAUAAAAAGACAAUCUCUUCUAAUGCAUGAGACAUACUUUAAUAAAAAUAACAGAAGUAUAUUCAGAAUAAUAAACAGUAAUAAGAGCUUAAAGACAUAAAAAAUGUUUAAGGUCUUUUGACAGCAUAUAAUUUGUGAGGGAGACAGGAAGGAAUGUGACCUAGCCUGGAAAUCAAAGAAAACUUCCUGGAAGAAGUGGCAUCUGGAGUGAGAUUUAAAGGAUAGUAAGAGUGCAUUACACUAGAAGGAAUUAGGAGGAAGAGCAUACAUGAGAGACCUGAGACAGAAUGAAUGUAACAUAUUUAGAAAUAUAAUAAUGUAAUUGUGAAUGGUAUAAUAUAGUAUGGUGUGGUGUAGAUGCAUACACAUAUAAAAUACAAGGCACUUUCCAGGGAAAGCAACUAACCUUUACUGAAUGAUUGCUACAUGCCAGUCCCUUUAUUACCUCCUUACUCAGUGGGAGGUAAUUGAAUCAUGGGAGCAAGUCUUUCCCACACUGUUCUCAUGAUAGUGAAUACGUCUC